rnacentral:rRNA from 1 species
UACGGAGGGUGCGAGCGUUGUCCGGAAUCACUGGGCGUAAAGGGCGCGUAGGCGGCCUGAUAAGUAGGGGGUGAAAUCCUGAGGCUUAACCUCAGGGCUGCCUUCUAAACUGUCAGGCUCGAGCACAGUAGAGGCAGGUGGAAUUCCCGGUGUAGCGGUGGAAUGCGUAGAUAUCGAGAGGAACACCUGCGGCGAAGGCGGGUUGCUGGGCCGACACUGACGCUGAUGCGCGAAAGCCAGGGGAGCGAACGGG